AUUUCUUCAUAGCAACAUAAAAUGGACUAAGACGUGUAUGGAAACUUGAAAUACAAGAAGAGAAUAUGAAGAAGUAAGACUAGAAAAGUAGAAAUGAGCCUUCAUUAUCAGAGAUAAGCAACAGCAAAGAGCUAAAGGUACCUGGAUGGGAUAACUGACUGAUAAUUGGAGACCAUCCUCAUGACUAUAACGUGAACUCCUCGGUGCACCUUUUUCAGAAAGGAACGUGGGUCUGGGUAGGUGAUGUCAACUUCCACAAAAACUGGAACUCUCCAGGCAGAAGCGGAACACCAUUCCCAAAGUGAGACAGAGGAGUGCAUGAUGUAUGUGAAUUGUAGACAAGAGGGGCUUCCCCCACGAUUGGAACAGCGCACCCACUCUCACAUGGCAA
rnacentral:lncRNA from 1 species